CUUCUUUACCCUCUAUUGUUCACUCUCUUUCUCUAUAUGUGCAUCUUUGCCUUCUCUAAAUCGCUAAACUCUCUCUGUUUUGCUCCUUCCCUUUCUUAAGUUCCACAAAUCAUCACCUGGUUUGUUGAUAAAAAAUGGAGUAUGAGGAUCGCUACCUCCAGGCACAAAAGCCUAAAUAUGAUUGCCUUUUGUUUGAUCUUGAUGAUACACUUUAUCCCCUUAGUUGUGGUCUUGCAGCAGCAUGUGGCCAGAAUAUUAAAGAUUAUAUGGUGGAACACCUUGGGAUAGAGAAGAGCAAGAUCACUGAAUUGGGUAACCUGCUGUACAAGAAUUAUGGCACAACAAUGGCUGGCCUCAGGGCAAUUGGUUAUGACUUCGACUAUGAUGAGUACCACAGUUAUGUUCAUGGGAGACUACCCUAUGAGAACUUGAAACCAGACCCUGUCCUGAGGAAUCUUCUGCAGAGCCUGCCAAUUCGAAAAGUUAUCUUUACGAAUGCAGACAAAGUGCAUGCCCUCAGAGUUCUUGCCAAGCUUGGGCUGGAAGAUUGUUUUGAAGGGAUUAUUUGUUUUGAGACUCUAAACCCUACCCACAAGAACACCAUUUCUGAUGAUGAAGAUGACAUUGAGUUUGUGGGAUCAGCUGUUACUGCAGCUGCCAAAACUACUAGUAAUCGUACUGAAAUUUUUGACAUUAUUGACCAUUUUUCUCGACCAAACCCAGGCGCAGAGUUACCAAAGACGCCUAUUGUCUGCAAACCAUCAGUAACUGCCAUAGAAAGGGCUCUGGAGAUUGCUAACAUUAAUCCUCAGAGAACUUUGUUCUUUGAGGAUAGUGUCCGCAACAUUCAGGCUGGAAAACGUGUGGAUCUUCACACUGUGCUGGUUGGUACAUCUCAGAGAGAGAAAGGUGCAGAUUAUGCAUUAGAAAGCAUCCACAACCUGAGGCAAGCAGUGCCAGAGAUUUGGGAGGCUGAAAUUAAGACAGAAGGGUACCCUGGAAAGCUUGCAAGGGAGACACCUGUCACUGCCUAAGAU
rnacentral:misc_RNA from 1 species